GAGUCAGUCACCUGACCUCUGGAUACCCUAUUGGUCAUCACACUUAUUUUGAAUUAAGUGGCUUUUCUGUGGGGGGUGUUAAGUUUGUAGUAUUGUAGUUACUGUGCAUACUGCUCACCUGAUUCUAGAAAUCUCCUCUAUUCAUGCAAAUUGUUUAUGGUUUUCUUCAGAAUUCUUUAAAUUCAUCUUUUUUUAAGGACAUAUUACUAUUAGCUGUGUGGUUCCCAUCCAAAUUACUUCACUUUUUUCCCCUCAUCUUUAAAAUGGGUAGAAUAAUAGCAUCUACUUUACAGGGUUGUUUGAGUAUCAAGUGAAACAAUAUAUAAAUGCAAAUACUUUGUAAACCUCAAAGAGUUACUGCAAGUCUUUAUUUCUAGUUUUGGUUUCAUUUCCCCCUCAAAAAAAGUGCUUUCAUAGCCUAUUUUGGUUUCUUUUUAGUGGGUUUUCAAAGAGUUUGAACAGCUCAGUAACUUUUCUCAAAUAAUUCCAAAUUAUUUUCCAGAAUAAUUGGGUCAGUUCACAUCCCCAUCAAUAACUUAUUAGUAUACUUGAUUUCCUACACUCUUGAGCACUAUUUCCAUCUUUUAGCAUCUUGAUCAGUUUGGUGGGGCUAAGUUAUUUUAUUUUAUUUUACCUUAUUUUAUUUUAAUUUACAUUAUCUCUUAUUAUUAAUGAUUUGGAGUUAUUUUAAUUUACAUUAUCUCUUAUUAUUAAUGAUUGGAGUUACUCUCCCAUAUAGUUGCAGUUUGUUGUUGAGUAGUUUUUCUUUUCAGUCUUUUUUGGACAGAAACCCUAAGGACCUGCCCCUCCCAGAUCGGUUGGAGGGUUUUUUUGGUUUGUUUUGGGUUUUUUUUUUUUUUUUUGGUUGAUUAGGUAAAAGAAUGUCCCAUUCUUCAUGUCCCUAAAUAUUUAGGGUUUUCUUGGCAAAGAUAACAGAGUGGUUUGCCAUUUCCUUCUCCAUUUCAUUUUUACAGAUGAAUAAAUCGAGGCAAAUAAGGUGAAAUAAUUUUCCCAGGAUCACAUAAAUAAGCCCAGCACUAGGACUUUGGCUUCUUUUUUAUUAUCCGGAGGAAGAGAAUGGAGAGAAGGCUGGAGAUGGGUGUAACCUGGCCCUGGUCCUGUCCUCCACCGACUAUUUUCCAGCCUAUGUCCAGUUUCUGUGACUCAGCUCUGCAGCUGGCCAACGUCCUACACUGCUGAGCAAGGUUUUCCUGACCCUGUUGCACCACCCUUGCCCUGCCUACUACUUGGUUCUUCUCCAUCCCCUCAUCUUCCAGGGCAUGCCUCAGAAACUCCCUCUCUUACCCCUCCCCGUCCUCAGCACUUGAACUUCCUUCUCUGACUCUGGGGGACUUGGUGACUGAGUCCCUCUCUCUGCAGUUGUUUUGGACAGAAACCCUGAGAUCUGCUCCUCCCAGAUGGGUUGGGGGUUUUUUUGGUUUGUUUGGGGUUUUUUUGUUGACUACGCAAAAGAAGUCAUUCUCAACCUCAUUUCUUCCCUAGUUUUAAUCACUGAUCGGGCAUUGCCUCACUCACACCGAAUCCUAUUGAAGAUCUUUGCUUAAAAGGCCAAGGUCUCCUUCCCACUGCAUCCAGGGCCAUCUCCAACCAUCCUGAUCUAUAUCUUGCCAUUGGACCCUGGAUGAGUGGAGGAGAAAGUGAGGCGGGUGACUUUGCACAACCCUGCCUCACUUAGAUCCAAUUAACUUGCAUAUUAUGGCAUCAACUCUCCGAUGAGUGUGAAGAGAAGGAACUAAAAAAGGAUCCAAGCCAUCCCAUCGUUCCCCUUGCCUUUGAAGGGGAUGCCUUCCCCUAGCUUGGACCAGUAAGGAGGGCUCACUUAUCCUGGGAAGUUGCCAGAGAUGUAGCAGCUUUAGUUUCCUUCAGUUUUCUAUGUCUUCAUGCCCCUCGAAGUCAGGAGGUUCUCCCUGAUGUCAGAUUUGUAAUCACAGGAUCCUAGAAUUUAGAACUUGAAAACACCUCAGAGGCCAUUUAGCCCACGUCCCUCACGUAACAGAUGAAGAAACGGGGGCAGUCGGAGGAUUUGGCCAACGUCCGAGCCGGGGUUUGAACCCCAGCCUCUCUGUUUCCACAGCCACACUGACUCCUGCCUCCUGCCCUACUCUGCUGCCCGAGGCUGGCCCGCUGCAUUCAGGGCAUCUUUGGAAGCUAGAUAACAAUGUGAGAAUAUUAAGGGAAGUCAGCCCCACCAGUGACCCAUCCAAGAAACACAAGCUGCUCACCUCUGGCUGCUCCCAUAGGAAACCAACCACCCAGGACCCCAGAGGUCAAAUUAAUUGGACUCUAGGGUUCAGGUUCCAGGGAUGAGAAGCAUGACCAAGCAUCCAACCAUUCAAUCAUUUAUUUAACAGCUAUAAACAACUACUGUGUACGGAGCACUGUGCUGGAUGCUGAGCUGAAGCCAGAAUAUCCUGGCUCAGCAUAAUCUAUCCCUUAAUUCUAGGGUCAUCCCUCCCUUGAUUAUUUCCAGUUUAUCCUGUAUAUAACUUGUUUGCAUAUUAUCUUCUCUAUUAGACAGGGAAUCUCUUGAGAUCAGUGACUAUCUUUUACUUUUCUUUGUAUCCGAAGCAAUUAGUUCAGCUCCUGGCACAUGGCAGUAGCAAGUGUCAAAGUGGAAAGAGCUAUGGCCCUGAAGCUGGGAAACUCCGAGUUCAAAUCCAGACACUUACUAGCUGUGUGAUGCUGGGCAAGUCACUCAAUUGUGCUUGCUUCAAUUUCCUCAUCUGUAAAAAUAGGAAUAAUUCUAGCAGCACUUGCCUUCCAGGUUUGUUGUGAGGAGCACAUAAGAUAAUUUUUGUUUGGGAAAAAAAUGCUUAAUACAUUUCUUGGCCCAUAUUAGGAACUGUAUAAAUACUUGUUUUCUACGUACCUAUCCAGAGUUAGUCUAGAAACCAGAAGCGGGAAUAGAAGCCGGCCAACCACCCCCGGAUCAUGAGUUACUUGUACUCAGCCCACUGGGGCCAGCCUCAUAACUCACAGAUCAAUCAUCUGGCCUUGGACCACUUGAAUCUCACAGGGAGGACCCUGGCAACCCUUGAUUAAGACACUCAAUUUAGUUGAGCAAUUUGUAAAUUUAACUGUCUACUGCCCAUUCGUUCACUGGCUCUAUUACUCUUCAUGCCGAUUUAGCCUACUUCAUCCCCUAAUCAUACACCAGGACUUCCUUAUUUUCCCCUCCUUUCUCCACUAUAAUUACUAUCACCUCCAGCUCUUUCAAGAAUAGAGAAAUCCCAGGCUACUAUGACAUGGAAGUGAAUCGGAUUUAAGUGAGGAAGGACAUAUCCUCAAACUAAAUCUAGAGUCAGGAAAACUGGAGUUCAAACACUUACUAGCUAUAGUAAGUCAUUUACUAGCAAAUCAUUUAACUCCUGCCUCAGUUUCUUCAACUGUAAAAUGGAAAUAAUGAUAGCACCCUCCUCCCAGAUUUGCUGUGAAGAUCAAAUGAAAUAAUAUUUGUAAAGUGUUUAGAACAAUGCCAUUCCAUAGUAGGUGUUUAAUAAAUGCAUGUUUUCUUCCCA